rnacentral:rRNA from 2 species
GACCCCAUGCCGAACUCAGAAGUGAAACGCCGUAGCGCCGAUGGUAGUGUGGGGUCUCCCCAUGUGAGAGUAGGGAAUCGCCAGGC